UACGUAGGGUGCAAGCGUUGUCCGGAAUUAUUGGGCGUAAAGAGCUCGUAGGCGGUUUGUCGCGUCUGCUGUGAAAACGCGAGGCUCAACCUCGCGCCUGCAGUGGGUACGGGCAGACUAGAGUGCGGUAGGGGAGAACGGAAUUCCCGGUGGUAGCGGUGAAAUGCGCAGAUAUCGGGAGGAACACCGGUGGCGAAGGCGGUUCUCUGGGCCUGUACUGACGCUGAGGAGCGAAAGCGUGGGGAGCGAACAGG
rnacentral:rRNA from 1 species